rfam:Myotis brandtii contig163883, whole genome shotgun sequence.
GGCCUCCCUCUGUGGGGCGAUUGAUGGCAGGGCUCUGUGAUUGAUUGCCCCGCAGAGGGAGGCC